CUUUGUGAUGAGAAACCUUUACAGACCUGUUCUGAUCCUUUGGAUCUGAGGACAUCCUAUAUUGCCUUUUUUUCUGAUU
rnacentral:snoRNA from 1 species